GGGAGGAGGCCUCCGACCCGCAGGCAGGCUGCGCGCCGGGACUUUGUGAAUGGAGCGCGGCGGCGCUUCUCGCAGUCAGCCUGCGGGCGCGGGCCUCCGCCACCCGCGAUCCACCCAGCGCGAGUGGCGGUGCGGGCUCUCCACCCGGGCGGCGGCGUUGGGCACGGAGAAAGUAGCCGGCUGAGAACCCGGCCUAACGGAGGCUAGGGAUCGAAGCCGCUUUUGUCGGGGGGCUUGUGUGCGUCGCGAUGCGGACACAACAAAAGCCAAAAAUGACUCGCCCGACAUCUUGCCAAGUCUUGUUAGUGAGAAUUAACCAGCGAGCGGGAAACCUGCAGGACUCGCUGGCGGCGGGGAGGCUUACACUCCAGGUCCGAGUGGAAGCCCGACCCUGGCAUCGAAGGACGGAACCCUUCCAGGUUCUCCCACCCCCUCUUGGCCUUCUGCCUCGCCUUUGUUCCCGGCUGAGCAGCGCUCCCGACCUCUCACCUCCGGCCCCCGGGGCCACCCCUCCACUCCCCUACCCGGCCCCGGGGGACCUCCACUUCCGACGCCGGUGGCCCUCGCUCCUCUCCCCCUGCGCGGACACCCCGGGAAUCUUCCCUUUACCAGGGCUACAGACUGGCUCAGCAAGGCGCUGCACUGAUCCUACCUCUAGUCAGAAUUUAAUAUCUUGUUCAACAUACUUUUUUGGCAUCCAUUUUAACUGCUUCAAAAAGCAUCGCAUUAAGAUAUGUAUUUUGAGCACUGGCUUUUUGGUGCCCUUACAUUGUGCGCCCGGGGCGCGUUGCUCACGCCGGGCACUGUGUGGGGUGAGCGGUCCAAGGCUCUCCCGGCUUGGCCUCUCGGGUAUGAAGGGGUUUGUACUCCCUCCCCGGGACAAAGGGGGCCACGGUAGGAUUCUCUUAGACUGCCGUGGCUGCGAGGCUCGGUCCAAAGCCUCGCUCUACCUGGCACACCGGAGCGCGCCUUUCUAAGGAGUCCCCGUGCCCCGACCAUCCAGGGAUCCUCUGGCCCCGGCCGGGCCCCCUCCCCGCGCAAGGAAACACCGACGCCUUCACGCGGGCUUGGACAGAACAUCUCUUGCAAGAGCCUCUCCGUCGCAGGCAGGUCGGGCCAAUCUCGCCCUUGUCGCUGGAGCUGGGGAGACGUCCCUGGGCCGCACUGGCCGCGCGCUCCUCGCCUUUGUCUCCCGCGCGCCGGGGUGGCCUCCCGCCGGACCCGCCCGGCUCAGAGCUCACGUGGCAAGACAACGAAAUGUCUAAAUCAUUGUUCCAAGGACACAGCAAUAAACAUAUUUUCCAAAUGUUGGAGUAUGAGGUCAGAAAAGAGUUUUGGACUUGUGAACUUAGAGAAAAAUUCUCACUGAGAAGUAAACAUUAAGUCACAUUGUUUAUGCAUAUUCCAAAACUGUUACUGAAAGCAAUGAAACAACCCAAAAUUAAGACUAUCAAAGAAAAUCUUGGGCUUCGGGGCAUUAUUUCUUCACUGAUGAAACCGUAAAACAAAUUUAUAGGAAACCCCUGUGGUGCUGCCUGCUUGCUACCGCAGCCCCAGGUCAUCAUUAUCCACUGCUGUCUCGUCCUGCACACAGUCCUUCCUGCCUAACAAGUGUGAGGAGAGAAUGCCCUGCGCCUUUCAGAUGUUUCAGCUAUUCUUCACCUCCACAUCCUGGCCUCAGUGAGGUCUUUUUGUGUAAUGGCACAGGGACUUCACAGAAAAGAAAUGAAAACCCAAAGAAGUAGUUAGACCUGGGGGCUUACACGCCAUUUUAACAAAGGACAAUAAAUUGUCAAGAAGUGACUAAACAAAAAGGGGCUUUGGGCUUCUGGAGCUGAUAAAUUAUGGGAAGCAAAAAUCCAAAGGCCUUUGACACUGCGUGAGACUGAUCAAUUCACUUCCAUUGAAAGAAUGGUUUCUGAAGUCAGGAUCUGAACAGCCUCUCCCAGCUGGAUGGAAUACAGAAGGAACAGGAGAAACAACAAUGCUGUAAGAUCUGCUCUUGGAUCUUGACAAAAUUUCUACAGUCCUCAGGCCAGAGUGGAGCACAGAAAGCUUGGAACGGAAAUCUGGUAAUUUAUUAAUUAUUCUGACUGUGCUCAGAAGAAACGCGACAAGCCCUUCCAUCUUUCCACCCUGCACGCCCCAGCCUCUGUUCCAUUUGUGCUCCUCACGUUGUUGCAAACACUAGGUAGGCUUUACCUGUUCUACCACACGACCACUGCUGCCCGCUCCUCUGGCACCGUGUCCUGCUCCUCUUUUGUGGUGUUGGUGUUUGCCACUGGUGCCCAGGGCUGCAGCUAGCUUCUUGGGAGACACCCAUCUAGAGCCUCAGCCUCUUACUAAUCUGUCCCCGCCCCUCCACCACCACCACCACCACCACCAACUGCCCCAAGGCUUCCUUGCUCCAUGCACCGUCCAGGAGCUCCAGGUGCUUCCCAGCCCUGUCCCAAACCCGCAGAUUCCAUCCUCUCCUGUUCUUUGCGGGAACUUCUGACCAAACUAACUGCCCAACUGAAACUCACAAGGGAGGUCACACUGAAAGACGCUGAUGUGUCUAGAUGACUAUUCAGAGCAGAACCGGAGCGAAAGGGUACACUUCCUGGCCUGAGGCAUAAACACCGCAUAUAUUUUCCCCUUUCGGAGGGCUAUUUUUCACGCUUGAAAUGAAGUGUGGUCAGAAUGUAUUCUUGUCUAGAAUUUUAGGUCAGUCAGGCAGAGGUUUGUCCUUCUUGUGUUUUACACAUGUGAAUAAAAAGCGUAAACAAAGCCUGCUGUUCAAUAUUUUACACAUGUGUCAGAGGUGCAGUUCUAGAGCAGACUGCUUUGGGGGUUUUUGUGGUUGGUUU